rnacentral:rRNA from 1 species
UACGAAGGGGGCGAGCGUUGUUCGGAAUUACUGGGCGUAAAGGGCGCGCAGGCGGCCCUUGAAGUCAGGCGUGAAAGCCCCGGGCUCAACCUGGGAGGUGCGCUUGAUACUCGAGGGCUUGAGACCGGGAGAGGUGAGUGGAAUUCCCAGUGUAGCGGUGAAAUGCGUAGAUAUUGGGAGGAACACCAGUGGCGAAGGCGGCUCACUGGACCGGUACUGACGCUGAGGCGCGAAAGCGUGGGGAGCAAACGGG